rnacentral:rRNA from 1 species
CCUACGGGCGGCAGCAGUGGGGAAUAUUGGACAAUGGGGGGAACCCUGAUCCAGCCAUGCCGCGUGUGUGAAGAAGGCCCUCGGGUUGUAAAGCACUUUCAGUGAGGAAGAACGCCUGGUGGUUAAUACCCAUCAGGAAAGACAUCACUCACAGAAGAAGCACCGGCUAACUCCGUGCCAGCAGCCGCGGUAAUACGGAGGUUGCGAGCGUUAAUCGGAAUUACUGGGCGUAAAGCGCGCGUAGGUGGCUUGAUAAGCCGGUUGUGAAAGCCCCGGGCUCAACCUGGGAACGGCAUCCGGAACUGUCAAGCUAGAGUGCAGGAGAGGAAGGUAGAAUUCCCGGUGUAGCGGUGAAAUGCGUAGAGAUCGGGAGGAAUACCAGUGGCGAAGGCGGCCUUCUGGACUGACACUGACACUGAGGUGCGAAAGCGUGGGUAGCAAACAGGAUUAGAUACCCGAGUAGUC